AUACGGAGGGUGCAAGCGUUGUUCGGAAUUAUUGGGCGUAAAGCGUGCGUAGGCGGACUGUUAAGUCUGGUGUGAAAUCCCUCGGCUCAACCGAGGACGUGCAUUGGAUACUGGCAGUCUUGAGUCCUGGAGAGGAGAGCGGAAUUCCUAGUGUAGAGGUGAAAUUCGUAGAUAUUAGGAGGAACACCAGCGGCGAAAGCGGCUCUCUGGACAGUGGCUGACGCUGAGGCACGAAAGCAUAGGUAGCAAACAGGAUUAGAUACCCUGGUAGUCUAUGCCGUAAACGAUGGGUACUAGUCGGUGCGGGUAUUGACCCCUGCGCUGACGAAGCUAACGCAUUAAGUACCCCGCCUGGGGAGUACGGCCGCAAGGCUAAAACUCAAAGGAAUUGACGGGGCCCGCACAAGCGGUGGAGCAUGUGGUUUAAUUCGAUGCAACGCGAAGAACCUUACCUACACUUGACAUCAUCAGAACUUGUUAGAGAUAACUCGGUGCCUU
rnacentral:rRNA from 1 species